rnacentral:ncRNA from 1 species
GAAAGGGGAGCCUGAGCGGCAGGCUGAGAGGAAAGAGAGUUUCGACCCGUAACCUGAUUUGGGUAAUGCCAACGUAGGGAAAUAGUGAAUU